rnacentral:rRNA from 1 species
CCUACGGGAGGCAGCAGUGGGGAAUCUUGCGCAAUGGGCGAAAGCCUGACGCAGCAACGCCGCGUGCGGGAUGACGGCCUUCGUGGUUGUAAACCGCUUUCAGCAGGGACGAAAAUGACGGUACCUGCAGAAGAAGCCCCGGCUAACUACGUGCCAGCAGCCGCGGUAAUACGUAGGGGGCGAGCGUUGUCCGGAUUCAUUGGGCGUAAAGAGCUCGUAGGCGGUUCAGUAAGUCAGGUGUGAAAGCUCCGAGCUCAACUCGGAGAGGCCACUUGAUACUGCUGUGACUAGAAUCCAGUAGGGGAGCGUGGAAUUCCUGGUGUAGCGGUGAAAUGCGCAGAUAUCAGGAGGAACACCAGCGGCGAAGGCGGCGCUCUGGGCUGGAAUUGACGCUGAGGAGCGAAAGUGUGGGUAGCAAACAGGAUUAGAUACCCGUGUAG